CUUCACUGUCAUUUCGAGGAUAUCAGCUUUUUCCAACUUUGAAUGUCUCGAACUCUAAAAUAUUGAUGACUGUUUUUCCACCAAAACAUAAUGCUGUUGGAAGGAACAAUUAGGAUGGUUGGAGCAAUGGGUUAACAGUCCAAUUGUUGUAACUUUUUGCACUAAAUAAAGUUGCUUCUAAUUAACUGGACAUCUGCAUGUAGAAGUGCAAUCUUAAACACAAGAGAUUCUGCAGAUGUUGGAAAUCCAGAGUAACACACACAAAAUUCUGGAGCAACCCAGAUAGUCAGGAGAGGAAUAAACAGCCAACAUUUCUGGCCAAGACCCUUCAUCAGGACUGGAAAGGAAGAGGGAAGAAGCCAGAACAAGCUGGCAGCUGAUAGGCAAAGCCAGGUGAGGGGGAAGGUGGGUGGAUGAGUUAGGUGAAGUGAGAAGCUGGAUGGUGAUAGGUGGGAAAGGUAAAGGGCUGAAGAAGAAGGAAUUUGAUAGGAGAGGAGAGUGGCACAUGGGAGAAAGGGAAGGAGCAGAGGCACCAGAGGGAGGUGAAAGGUAGGUGAGGAGAGUAAUGCAAAGACUAAUUAGAAGCUGGCGUAUCAUCUCAAGUUGGAAGUGUAUUGUAUGACCUUUAUCAUCAUUGGGUAUGAACCCUGGAGGUGCCUCCGACAGCCUGUGUGAGUAUCUCUCCAGAAGAAGUACAGCAGUUCAAGAAGGUAGCUCACUGCUGCCUUCUCAAGGACAUUUGGGAACAGACAAUAACACUCACCUUAACUUAUCAGUGAAGAAAGCAUUCUGUAAAUAAAUUAAGAAAAUCUCUUUCAGCACAGUGAUCCAGAUAGAGAAUGUUCCAUGUAGGUAUGAAUAUAAUAAGCUGAACUGGCAAAUAUAGAGAACGUACGUGCCAUGAUUUGUCAUGGUACAAUGGGUUCCUUUAUUCAUUCACCUGAACAUGUUUACUGAUCAUAGCCAAAGAUCUCUAUUCACAGUGUUUCUAUUAAUUCUAAUUUUACGCUAGCAUUACCCAUCCUAUUCUGCAGCCUGCUCUGGUGCACUUGUGAUCAAACAAACAUGGGAAGGGGUGAAUAGAACAGUUUCCUGUCCCCUUUGUACUGAUGUCACCUGUCAAAACAUUGCUCGAGGGUGGACUGAUGGCAAUGAUCAUUGAUAUUUUCAGUGGGAAUAAGAUAAUUAACUGGAGAUUGAUUGAAAAUAAAUAUGAAGGUAAUUAACUACAAGAUCAACAGAUAAGGCGCAUUUGUCAAAAUGUCACAGAAGAAGAGCAAUAAAAACAACCAAUUACUGAUCACUUCAUAGGAUCUGGUUCAACAUUUGGCCCUUUACCUUUCUAUGCUGCAGGGUUUUAGUCCUAAAUCUUUUCUUAUGAAUGGAUGUGUUGGUUGUCCAUCGUACCAACAAUGACAGGAGACCUAUGCUGGAAGAUUUUUUAAAGUGGAAGAGCCACUUCACUGGGGCAGUUCCACUCGCUCAGCCUUAGAAGUGGUAUGCACAGUCAUCACAAACCGGGCUCUUCCUUGGUUGCAGUGGAUGACCAAGACUUCUGUGCUUUGUCACGUCCAUCGCUCUCCAUGGAGCACUGCAGACUCGCCUUCCCGGCCAUUGGUUCUCAUUGAUGACCCCAAACCACUGGAGGUUGCUUCAUGGGAUAUUUAGUUGCAAUGUAUUUGAGUACUGUCAAAAUUGUACCAUAUACAAAAUAUCACUAAGAUUAAACUCU